AUGCAGCUGAUGAGUCCCGAAUAGGACGAAACGCGCGUCAAACUUGAU
rnacentral:hammerhead_ribozyme from 1 species